rnacentral:snoRNA from 1 species
UGAUGAUGGAGAGGGCAAUUUCUGAGCAUACUCUUAAAUCUCUCCCAAGCUUGGUAGAGAUUCUCUCUUUCUUUCUGCGUAAAAUUUAGAAUCUCACUUCUCAAGUG